AGCGAACGCUGGCGGCAGGCCUAACACAUGCAAGUCGAACGAUCCUUCGGGAUAGUGGCGGACGGGUGAGUAACACGUGGGAACGUGCCCUUUGGUUCGGAACAACUCAGGGAAACUUGAGCUAAUACCGAAUGUGCCCUUCGGGGGAAAGAUUUAUCGCCAUUGGAGCGGCCCGCGUCUGAUUAGCUAGUUGGUGAGGUAACGGCUCACCAAGGCGACGAUCAGUAGCUGGUCUGAGAGGAUGAUCAGCCACACUGGGACUGAGACACGGCCCAGACUCCUACGGGAGGCAGAAGCGGGGAAUCUUGCGCAAUGGGCGAAAGCCUGACGCAGCCAUGCCGCGUGAAUGAUGAAGGUCUUAGGAUUGUAAAAUUCUUUCACCGGGGACGAUAAUGACGGUACCCGGAGAAGAAGCUCCGGCUAACUUCGUGCCAGCCGCCGCAGUAACAC
rnacentral:rRNA from 1 species